GACGAACGCUGGCGGCGUGCUUAACACAUGCAAGUCGAACGGAAAGGCUCCAGCUUGCUGGAGUACUCGAGUGGCGAACGGGUGAGUAACACGUGGGUGAUCUGCCCUGCACUUCGGGAUAAGCCUGGGAAACUGGGUCUAAUACCGGAUAGGACCGCACUUUGGUGUGUGUGGUGGAAAGGUUUUUCUGGUGUGGGAUGAGCUCGCGGCCUAUCAGUUUGUUGGUGGGGUAAUGGCCUACCAAGACGGCGACGGGUAGCCGGCCUGAGAGGGUGGACGGUAACAUUGGGACUGAGAUACGGCCCAGACUCCUACGGGAGGCAGCAGUGGGGAAUAUUGCACAAUGGGGGAAACCCUGAUGCAGCGACGCCGCGUGGGGGAUGAAGGCCUUCGGGUUGUAAACUCAUUUCGCUAGGGACGAAGCUUUUUGUGACGGUACCUGGAGAAGAAGCACCGGCUAACUACGUG
rnacentral:rRNA from 1 species